CCUACGGGAGGCAGCAGUGGGGAAUAUUGCGCAAUGGGCGAAAGCCUGACGCAGCGACGCCGCGUGAGGGAUGAAGGUCUUCGGAUCGUAAACCUCUGUCAGCAGGGAAGAACGGUCACUGUGCUAAUCAGCAGUGAAUUGACGGUACCUGCAAAGGAAGCACCGGCUAACUCCGUGCCAGCAGCCGCGGGUAUACGGAGGGUGCGAGCGUUAAUCGGAAUUACUGGGCGUAAAGCGCUCGUAGGCGGUAUGUCAAGUCAAGGGGGAAAUCCCCGCGCUAAACGUGGGAACUGCCUUUGAAACUGGCAAACUGGAGUGUGUGAGAGGAUAGUGGAAUUCCAGGGGUAGGAGUGAAAUCCGUAGAUAUCUGGAGGAACAUCAGUGGCGAAGGCGACUAUCUGGCACAUAACUGACGCUGAGGAGCGAAAGCGUGGGUAGCAAACAGGAUUAGAUACCCUGGUAGUC
rnacentral:rRNA from 1 species